GCAGCUUCCUCCUUCCGGGUGCAGGCGGGCCUGGGCAGUCUGAGUCCUACCUCAGCCCCCACCUCACCUCCCUGCAUCCUCCUAGCAUCUCUGCAGGGCUAGCCCAGAGGUUGGCGGCGGAAGGCCCACAGCUCCCCUGGCUCCAUGGGCAAUGACCGAACAGCCCUUCACCUCUCUGGGCCUUGUUUUCUCAAACUGAAACUGGAGAGGAUGACCCCAGCCUGGGACCUUCGAGGGCCUCAAAAGGGCUCUGGGCCUUGCGUGACAGAGUCUUGCUGUGUUGCCCGGGCUGGUCUCGAACUCCUGGGCUCAAGUGAUCCUCCCGCCUUGGCCUCCUGAAGGGCUGAGAUGACGGCAUGAGCUGCCUCACGCAGCCCCCAUUCUACACCUCUGAAGUGAGUUUACAUGGUACAGUUGCUGUCUGGCUAGCUGCCGUCCCAACAUCACUGUCAGGACCCACACCUGAAAAGCACCAGCAUCAAAUCCUUCAGAAGAGUGUCAGCAGCUUGGAAGAAAUCCUAGAGAACUCUCAAGGACUCAGAGAAGGAGGUGGCAGGCAGACACAGACAUCACGACUCUCAGACCAAAAAUGAUUCAAACAAGUUGGACUCUAAAUGUGAAGGAGUUUUCUGAACAUGGCUGGACGAUGAAUGUGAUGGCUGGAACUCAAGCAGCCACAGUGGAUCAUAAGGGACGGUGUCUUGCUAUGUUGUCCAAGCUGGUCUCAAACUGGCCUGAAUCAAUGCUUCCACCUCAGCUGCCAGAGGAACCGGGAUUACAGGCCUGAGCCACUGCAGCCAGCCAGUUUGUUAUUUUAAUGUAAAUUCUUAGUAAACAACUCAGGAGCUCUCUUGUCCUUUUAAAAUCCAUUUCAACUUCUGCUAAUCGGAGUGUAUAUUCAGGGCAACUUGAAUCUGUGCUCCUGGGAUGCAAUCCUCAAGCUUGGCCCAAAUAAAGUCUCCGCUGAUAUUAA
rnacentral:lncRNA from 1 species